UUUCAGGGCGAGGUGAAAUUCCUCACCGGCAGUAAAGUCUGCGACCUGUUUAGUGUAUCUAAACGGCUGAUACGGUGAAAUUCCGUUACCGACGGUUAAAGUCCGGAUGGGAGAAA
rnacentral:ncRNA from 1 species